rnacentral:rRNA from 1 species
ACGGGAGGCAGCAGUGGGGAAUCUUAGACAAUGGGGGCAACCCUGAUCUAGCCAUGCCGCGUGAGUGAUGAAGGCCUUAGGGUCGUAAAGCUCUUUCGCCUGUGAUGAUAAUGACAGUAGCAGGUAAAGAAACCCCGGCUAACUCCGUGCCAGCAGCCGCGGUAAUACGGAGGGGGUUAGCGUUGUUCGGAAUUACUGGGCGUAAAGCGCGCGUAGGCGGAUUAGAAAGUUGGGGGUGAAAUCCCGGGGCUCAACCCCGGAACUGCCUCCAAAGCUGCUAGUCUAGAGUUCGAGAGAGGUGAGUGGAAUUCCGAGUGUAGAGGUGAAAUUCGUAGAUAUUCGGAGGAACACCAGUGGCGAAGGCGGCUCACUGGCUCGAUACUGACGCUGAGGUGCGAAAGUGUGGGGAGCAAACAGGAUUAGAUACCCUGGUAGUCCACACCGUAAACGAUGAAUGCCAGUCGUCGGAUAGUAUACUAUUCGGUGACACACCUAACGGAUUAAGCAUUCCGCCUGGGGAGUACGGUCGCAAGAUUAAAACUCAAAGGAAUUGACGGAA